UAAAAUGUUUAUUGGGGCGCCUGGGUGGCUCAGUCGGUUAAGCGUCCGACUUCAGCCAGGUCACGAUCUCACGGUCCGUGAGUUCGAGCCCCGCGUCGGGUUCUGGGCUGAUGGCUCAGAGCCUGGAGCCUGUUUCCGAUUCUGUGUCUCCCUCUCUCUCUGCCCCUUCCCCGUUCAUGCUCUGUCUCUCUCUGUCCCAAAAAAAUAAAUAAACGUUGAAAAAUAAAAUAAAAUAAAAUGUUUAUUUAUUCUUGAGAGGGAGAGAGAGACAGAGUGUGAGGCAGGGGAGAGGUAGAGAGAGAGGGAGACGUAGAAUCCGAAGCAGGCUCCAGGCUCUGAGCUAUCAGCACAGAGCUCGAUGUGGGGCUCGAACCCAUGAACUGUGAGAUCAUGACCUGAGCUGAAGCCAGGCACUUAACUGACUGAGCCACCCUGGUGCCCCUCGAUCCCACAGACCCCUUAGUAACCGAGAGCCACUGGAAAGAGAAGGGUCCCGUGAGGCUGAGUUCCAGGAAGCAGACGAGGCAGUUAAGAUGGGGUCCUUCGAUUGUUUUCCUCAAAGAUGAUUUCAGUUGUAAGUCACAGAACCCAACUUUAGCUAGAGGACUUAUUCCAAAAAGUACUGGGAAGCUCAUAAACUCCAAGGAAAAAAGCUGAAUGGGGACGUCUGGUGCCAGAAAUUGGACAGCUCGGGGACUUCCACAGCAGGUGAGUGGCUCCGGGGACCCCCAGUUUCUGGAUCUUUAUGUCCGGGUUUUAGAUUUCCAAGAGAGAAGGUACGUGUGGGGACGGGUCCCAGAGAAGAGGAGGCCGUGGGUCAAGGAACCACCUCAGCUGUUGCUGGCCGCAGUCAUGACCACCGUGGCGUGGAGGCGGUGUCCUGUCUUGAAAAUACUGGAAGGCCGGUCUCCAGGGCUGCUGACUGCUGGUUACACGAUGAAUCGUACAGGAAAGUGCUGAUCAAAAGUUGCCCACUGGAGGCCCACGGUCACAUCUAACCUACGUUUCUGGACAACACAACAGGAGGCCGACCAUUUACCAAGGACAUUGUGGAUGCAUGGGAAAAACGCAUCGGACGGGAGGCCAGAGGUUUCCUUCCCAUCCUCCCUGUCCAGAAUUUCUGCGACUGCCGUUUUCUCUGGCUGGUAAGCGGAGUCAGUCUCUCUAAUCCUGGAGUCCUGAGAUAUGUCAUCCUCGUUCAGCGUCACCUACGGUUUUGUACCUGGGGUUUGAAGGAUGGAACCGUCUUGCGAUCACAUACUUUUAUUGCCUUAGGGCCUCACAAAUCAGAGAUGCCUUCCCUUUGGGAGCCCUCUGGUCAUGUUGCUCUUUAUGGGCCUGAAGCCCCCCCUAAUGCUCAUCAUGGGGUCACGGCUUUCCCCUUCCUCCUGGGAAACCCAUGGGGGUAGUAGGCUGUGACUUUGUUUAUUGUCCGUAAGCGCAGUGCAUUAAAAUUUAUACACACCUUUCCUAGAGGAGAUAAAUGACACGUAUUACAAGAGGGGUUGACAAUGCAGUGAUUAGGAUGUUCCUUCGGCUGGUCCCAGACGUCAUCCAGCUGAGAUCGGGAGUCUCCAGCUUAUACUUCCCGCUGCUGCAAAGAUGCUUUAAAGGUGAGAACACUUCCCCUUGGGAGCUUUCCCGUGGUGCCCGAGGGGCUUGGCUGGGGUCCU
ensembl:lncRNA